rnacentral:rRNA from 1 species
CGAUUGGGGUGGGUUGGGCAGCACGGGAGGAGAGAGAGAGAGCUUGACUUGGGAUCGCGAGGUGGGGAGUGACGGACGGCGGUGGAGGCCGCUGGAGUCCGCCCUUAGCUGCUGGCCGCUCUAGGCACGCGCGCGUCGCUCUAGGUAGAGAGAGAGUGUGCUCUCCCUUUUAGGGGUGCUGAGGAGGAGGAGGAGGAGAGACCUAGCUAGGGGAGGUUGGGUGGAGAAGGGGGAGAGACCUAGCUAGGGGAGGUUGGGUCGGCGGCAGCGGCGUCUGGAGGGGGUUGGGGCCGGAGGAGGUGUCGGCCGCUGGGGAAGAGAAGGAGGGGGUUGGGUCGGUGGAGGUCGUCGUCUAGGUACGUCCUGUCUAGACUCGAGGUGAUGGAGGCAACGAGGGAAAGGGGGCUGGUCUAGAAGGAGAACGCAAGGCCGUGGAGCGGCCGCACCGAGGCCGCAACGAGGCCGCUGAGUCUAGGUUGUGCGGCAGCAACGAGCUCGUGGCCCUGCGAUAGCUACCCUUCAGAAGGAGGAGUGGAGUAGAACAGAGGGAGUGUACUCGCUACGUCGAAGUGGCGAUGGGACUGCGGUAGUUCCUCGUCGACGUGCGGACGUUCCGACGUUGUAGUGGUUGAGCUGAACCUACGUCCCUCUCCUCUGCGGGUUGGUACCCGUUCGAGAUGCAGCCGUAGACGGAAACAUCGAACCGGAUCCCAAUCGACUUACGAGUUCUGUACCCAUCAAGACCCUCUACCACUAAUCCCUGACAAAAUGUUGUGUAGUAGGAGACAAAAAUGUGCAUCAACAUCUUCUUUUAUGAAAAUGAAUAACGUUCAGUGCUGACAGUACGCAUACAAUACUUAAGUCUUUGAUAUUGUACAAAAAAAACGGUACCACUUCCUCAUUUGACUUGUUAAUUCAACGAUCAAGUCAUACACUCAACGUAGUAUGACAUGUACUUACGAUCGACUUAUAGUCAAGACAUACAAUGAACCACGUAUUUAAAAUGAAUAAACGUUCAGCAUCGACGGCACGUGGGCAAUACUUAAGUCUUUGAUAUUGUAGUUAAGCAGUCGUCGAAAAAGAGUCACCUCAACGAUUAAACCGCGACCUUUCGAACGAAACGUGUAUAGGGUAACAUGUAUUAAUUAUGACCUAAUCAAUGAACGAAAACAUGUGUACGGUCGCCCUACAAGAGAUCAAAGAGAUUUAGGUCACUAAGUUUUGAAGUUACAUCAGUAAAAUGUUACGUGGUACCAAAGAACAAAGACAACACUUUCAUUACAGUUACCACAACGUGUCAAAACUUAUUUUUACGUUUACCGAACACUUACAGUUACUUGAAUGUUACAGUCAGAGAAUCUCAACAAAAACGUUGGAUUAUAACAACAUUUUAGGAAAGGAACUCGACGCCAACUACACCACCAGACGACAACACCUACUACGUACGUCCCCGACGACCUCUUGUGCCUCUUCCUGUCCCAGGCCUCCGACUAUCCGAGUUCGGAGGGCACCUCGGUACUAAAAGGGUCAACUACCUAGAAAGGACACGUGCGACCGUAGGUCCAGCCGUUGCGCACGACCCUUGAAAUGACGGAGCUCGUGCCGUAGGUCCGAGCAGGGACCUGGUCUACAAGUUCAUGUCGGGGUAGGUGGUGUAGCUGGACCUCAGUCUACGACCCGAAAGUACAAAGAAGCACUCGUAGUCAUGUUUCUUCAGCCUCCUUCUUAUCAAGAUCGAGUAAACUCGAUCAAGAUUCUCAUUACCUCAGGAAAUACGACGAGGAUAAACAUACACACAAUAUACUACAUCGUCUUAGACCGAGCACACUAACAUGUGAACACCUCGAACAUUAAUAGACUAACAUUUGAACUACGACUAGUGUAAACAUACACACAAUAUACUACAUCGUGAAGCUACCAACUAUUGUAAACUUCAUAAAGUACAUAAGAUACACGGU